AGAGUUUGAUCAUGGCUCAGGGUUAACGCUGGCGGCGCGCAUAACACAUGCAAGUCGAGCGAGGGCUUACUUCUCGCAAGAGAGGUGAGUUCCUAGCGGCGAACGGGUGAGUAACACGUGGGCAACCUUUCCUAUCGCGGGGGAUAACACCGGGAAACCGAUGCUAAUACCGCAUGUCGUCACUGAUCGCAUGGCUGGUGAAGAAAGCAGCAAUGCACGAUGGGGUGGGCCCGCGGCCUAUCAGCUAGUCGGUGGGGUAACGGCCUACCGAGGCGAUGACGGGUAGCUGGUCUGAGAGGACGGCCAGCCACACGGGGACUGAGACACGGCCCCGACUCCUACGGGAGGCAGCAGUGAGGAAUCUUCCGCAAUGGGCGAAAGCCUGACGGAGCGACGCCGCGUGUGGGAUGAAGUCUUUCGGGAUGUAAACCACUGUCGGAGGGGAAGACAAAAACGACGGUACCCUCCAAGAAAGCCCCGGCUAACUACGUGCCAGCAGCCGCGGUA
rnacentral:rRNA from 1 species